GGGAAACUGCCUGAUGGAGGGGGAUAACUACUGGAAACGGUAGCUAAUACCGCAUAACGUCGCAAGACCAAAGAGGGGGACCUUCGGGCCUCUUGCCAUCAGAUGUGCCCAGAUGGGAUUAGCUAGUAGGUGGGGUAACGGCUCACCUAGGCGACGAUCCCUAGCUGGUCUGAGAGGAUGACCAGCCACACUGGAACUGAGACACGGUCCAGACUCCUACGGGAGGCAGCAGUGGGGAAUAUUGCACAAUGGGCGCAAGCCUGAUGCAGCCAUGCCGCGUGUAUGAAGAAGGCCUUCGGGUUGUAAAGUACUUUCAGCGGGGAGGAAGGCGAUAAGGUUAAUAACCUUGUCGAUUGACGUUACCCGCAGAAGAAGCACCGGCUAACUCCGUGCCAGCAGCCGCGGUAAUACGGAGGGUGCAAGCGUUAAUCGGAAUUACUGGGCGUAAAGCGCACGCAGGCGGUCUGUCAAGUCGGAUGUGAAAUCCCCGGGCUCAACCUGGGAACUGCAUUCGAAACUGGCAGGCUAGAGUCUUGUAGAGGGGGGUAGAAUUCCAGGUGUAGCGGUGAAAUGCGUAGAGAUCUGGAGGAAUACCGGUGGCGAAGGCGGCCCCCUG
rnacentral:rRNA from 1 species